GAUGAACGCUGGCGGCGUGCCUAAUACAUGCAAGUCGAGCGAACAGACGAGGAGCUUGCUCCUCUGACGUUAGCGGCGGACGGGUGAGUAACACGUGGAUAACCUACCUAUAAGACUGGGAUAACUUCGGGAAACCGGAGCUAAUACCGGAUAAUAUAUUGAACCGCAUGGUUCAAUAGUGAAAGACGGUUUUGCUGUCACUUAUAGAUGGAUCCGCGCCGCAUUAGCUAGUUGGUAAGGUAACGGCUUACCAAGGCAACGAUGCGUAGCCGACCUGAGAGGGUGAUCGGCCACACUGGAACUGAGGCACGGUCCUGACUCCUACGGGAGGCAGCAGUAGGGAAUCUUCCGCAAUGGGCGAAAGCCUGACGGAGCAACGCCGCGUGAGUGAUGAAGGUCUUCGGAUCGUAAAACUCUGUUAUUAGGGAAGAACAAAUGUGUAAGUAACUAUGCACGUCUUGACGGUACCUAAUCAGAAAGCCACGGCUAACUACGUG
rnacentral:rRNA from 1 species